AUCUCCUGAGGUUCAAGGGUCGGACACAAAUCUAACCAGCAUGCAUUAGGCGCCGAUCGCCAGUGAUCGAUUCUGUGCAGGCCUGGCUCAUCUUGAACAGGCCUAUUCU